GAGUUUGAUCCUGGCUCAGGAUGAACGCUGGCGGCAUGCCUAAUACAUGCAAGUCGAACGAGGGUCCUUCGGGACUCGAGUGGCGAACGGGUGAGUAACACGUAGGGAACCUGCCCGUGCGACCGGGAGAACUUUCGGAAACGGAAGCUGAUACCGGAUAGGGACAGAGACGGCAUCGACUCUGUGUUAAAGGAGCUGAAAGGCUCCGCGCACGGAUGGACCUGCGGUGCAUUAGCUAGUUGGUGAGGUAACGGCCCACCAAGGCGACGAUGCAUAGCCGGCCUGAGAGGGCGGACGGCCACACUGGGACUGAGACACGGCCCAGACUCCUACGGGAGGCAGCAGUAGGGAAUUUUCGUCAAUGGGCGCAAGCCUGAACGAGCAAUGCCGCGUGAACGAGGAAGGUCUUCGGAUCGUAAAGUUCUGUUGAAGGGGAAAAAGAGCGGAGAGAGGAAAUGGUCUCCGAUUGAUAUUACCCUUCGAGGAAGUCACGGCUAACUACGUGCCAGCAGCCGCGGUAAUACGUAGGUGGCGAGCGUUAUCCGGAAUGAUUGGGCGUAAAGGGUGCGUAGGCGGCCUGCUAAGUCUGGAGUGAAAGGUACCGGCUCAACCGGUACAGGCUCUGGAAACUGGCGGGCUAGAGAGCAGGAGAGGGCGGUGGAACUCCAUGUGUAGCGGUAAAAUGCGUAGAUAUAUGGAAGAACACCAGUGGCGAAGGCGGCCGCCUGGCCUGUUACUGACGCUGAGGCACGAAAGCGUGGGGAGCAAAUAGGAUUAGAUACCCUAGUAGUCCACGCCGUAAACGAUGAGGACCAAGUGUUGGGGAAGACCCAGUGCUGCAGUUAACGCAGUGAGUCCUCCGCCUGGGGAGUAUGCACGCAAGUGUGAAACUCAAAGGAAUUGACGGGGGCCCGCACAAGCGGUGGAGUAUGUGGUUUAAUUCGAAGCAACGCGAAGAACCUUACCAGGCCUUGACAUAGGGUGCGAAGCUAUGGAGACAUAGUGGAGGUAAACAUCCAUACAGGUGGUGCAUGGUUGUCGUCAGCUCGUGUCGUGAGAUGUUCAGUUAAGUCUGGCAACGAGCGCAACCCUCGUGAUGUGUUACCAAUAUCGAGUUAGGGACUCACAUCAGACUGCCGGUGAGAAACCGGAGGAAGGCGGGGAUGACGUCAAAUCAUCAUGCCCCUUAUGGCCUGGGCUACACACGUACUACAAUGGCGGCGACAGAGGGCAGCGAGCCUGCGAAGGCAAGCGAAUCCCCAAAAAGCCGUCCCAGUUCGGAUUGGAGUCUGCAACCCGACUCCAUGAAGUUGGAAUCGCUAGUAAUCGCGGAUCAGCAUGCCGCGGUGAAUACGUUCUCGGGCCUUGCACACACCGCCCGUCA
rnacentral:rRNA from 1 species